rnacentral:tRNA from 2 species
GUGCCCGUAGCUCAGCCGGUAGAGCACGUGACUUUUAAUCAUGGGGUCCGGGGUUCGAGUCCCCGCGGGCACACCA